AUUCUGGACUUUUGGGGGAAUUACACUUAUAUUAACCCUGUUCCGCAAGGGACUAUGGCGAUAAACGCCGUACAGAAUAGACGGAUUGGACCCGGGGGCAGUACCCGGCAUCUCCACAAAGUCGCUGUAAAGCGGCGUUUUUGAGGGGAUGAAGUAGCAUCGACAACCGUAAUAAAAGUUCGGUUUUUGCCAGGAGUGACGCUCCUUAAUCAGUCAUUUUUUAAGUGCAAACGAUAACUUUGCGCUCGUUGCAGCUAACGACAACAACGUCGUAGCGGCUCGUCUCGCUGCUUAGUGUAGCCUGACAAGUCCUAGCUUGUAAACGCGGCUCGGGGGAGGGCCGGGCAACAGAACCUCCCCCACU
rnacentral:tmRNA from 1 species